CGGCACGUGGCGCAGAUUGGUAGCGUACUAGCAUGGGGUGCUAGUGGUCAGAGGUUCAAAUCCUCUCGUGCCGA
rnacentral:tRNA from 1 species